rnacentral:piRNA from 1 species
UACUCUGCCACUAUUAGUUUGAAAGCUAGU